rnacentral:tRNA from 1 species
GCCCUCGUAGGUCAAUGGAUAGACCGGCGGCCUCCGAAGCCACAGAUACAGGUUCGAUUCCUGUCGGGGGCA